GACGAACGCUGGCGGCGUGCUUAACACAUGCAAGUCGAGCGGAGCGGCGAACGGGUGAGUAACGCGUGAGUAACUGCCCCCCUCUCUGGGAUAACAGUUGGAAACGGCUGCUAAUACCGGAUAGUUGGGGAUGACUCGCGCCCUAUCAGCUUGUUGUUGGGGUAGUGGCCUCGCAAGGCGACGACGGGUAGCCGGCCUGAGAGGGCGACCGGCCACAGUGGGCUGGGAUGCGGCCCAAAGUGCUACGGGAGGCAGGAGUGGGGAAUAGUGCACAAUGGGGGAAACCCUGAUGCAGCAACGCCGGGUGCGGGAUGACGGCCUUCGGGUUGGAAACCGAUUUCCGCCAUAACGGGGUAGUGGCAGAAGAAGCACCGGCUAACUACGUGCCAGCGGCGGCGGUAAUC
rnacentral:rRNA from 1 species